rnacentral:rRNA from 1 species
UACGUAGGGGGCAAGCGUUGUCCGGAUUUAUUGGGCGUAAAGAGCGUGUAGGCGGCUGGGUAGGUCCGUUGUGAAAACUCGAGGCUCGACCUCGAGACGCCGAUGGAAACCCCCCAGCUAGAGUCCGGAAGAGGAGAGUGGAAUUCCUGGUGUAGCGGUGAAAUGCGCAGAUAUCAGGAAGAACACCCGUGGCUAAGGCGGCUCUCUAGUACGGUACUGACGCUGAGACGCGAAAGCGUGGGGAGCGAACAGG